rnacentral:rRNA from 1 species
CAGGCUUAACACAUGCAAGUCGAGGGGCAGCAUGGUCUUAUCUUGCUAAGGCCGAUGGCGACCGGCGCACGGGUGAGUAACACGUAUCCAACCUGCCGUCUACUCUUGGACAGCCUUCUGAAAGGAAGAUUAAUACAAGAUGGCAUCAUGACUCCGCAUGUUCACAUGAUUAAAGGUAUUCCGGUAGACGAUGGGGAUGCGUUCCAUUAGAUAGUAGGCGGGGUAACGGCCCACCUAGUCUUCGAUGGAUAGGGGUUCUGAGAGGAAGGUCCCCCACAUUGGAACUGAGACACGGUCCAAACUCCUACGGGAGGCAGCAGUGAGGAAUAUUGGUCAAUGGGCGCAGGCCUGAACCAGCCAAGUAGCGUGAAGGAUGACUGCCCUAUGGGUUGUAAACUUCUUUUAUAAAGGAAUAAAGUCGGGUAUGUAUACCCGUUUGCAUGUACUUUAUGAAUAAGGAUCGGCUAACUCCGUGCCAGCAGCCGCGGUAAUACGGAGGAUCCGAGCGUUAUCCGGAUUUAUUGGGUUUAAAGGGAGCGUAGAUGGAUGUUUAAGUCAGUUGUGAAAGUUUGCGGCUCAACCGUAAAAUUGCAGUUGAUACUGGAUAUCUUGAGUGCAGUUGAGGCAGGCGGAAUUCGUGGUGUAGCGGUGAAAUGCUUAGAUAUCACGAAGAACUCCGAUUGCGAAGGCAGCCUGCUAAGCUGCAACUGACAUUGAGGCUCGAAAGUGUGGGUAUCAAACAGGAUUAGAUACCCUGGUAGCCCACACGGUAAACGAUGAAUACUCGCUGUUUGCGAUAUACAGCAAGCGGCCAAGCGAAAGCGUUAAGUAUUCCACCUGGGGAGUACGCCGGCAACGGUGAAACUCAAAGGAAUUGACGGGGGCCCGCACAAGCGGAGGAACAUGUGGUUUAAUUCGAUGAUACGCGAGGAACCUUACCCGGGCUUAAAUUGCAGAUGAAUUACGGUGAAAGCCGUAAGCCGCAAGGCAUCUGUGAAGGUGCUGCAUGGUUGUCGUCAGCUCGUGCCGUGAGGUGUCGGCUUAAGUGCCAUAACGAGCGCAACCCUUGUUGUCAGUUACUAACAGGUUCCGCUGAGGACUCUGACAAGACUGCCAUCGUAAGAUGUGAGGAAGAUGGGGAUGACGUCAAAUCAGCACGGCCCUUACGUCCGGGGCUACACACGUGUUACAAUGGGGGGUACAGAGGGCCGCUACCACGCGAGUGGAUGCCAAUCCCAAAAACCUCUCUCAGUUCGGACUGGAGUCUGCAACCCGACUCCACGAAGCUGGAUUCGCUAGUAAUCGCGCAUCAGCCACGGCGCGGUGAAUACGUUCCCGGGCCUUGCACA